rnacentral:rRNA from 1 species
AACGAACGCUGGCGGCAGGCUUAACACAUGCAAGUCGAGCGCCCCGCAAGGGGAGCGGCUGACGGGUGAGUAACGCGUGGGAAUCUACCCAUCUCUACGGAAUAACGCAUGGAAACGUGUGCUAAUACCGUAUACGUCCUUCGGGAGAAAGAUUUAUCGGAGAUGGAUGAGCCCGCGUUGGAUUAGCUAGUUGGUGGGGUAAAGGCCUACCAAGGCGACGAUCCAUAGCUGGUCUGAGAGGAUGAUCAGCCACACUGGGACUGAGACACGGCCCAGAAUCCUACGGGAGGCAGCAGUGGGGAAUAUCGGACAAUGGGCGCAAGCCUGAUCCAGCCAUGCCGCGUGAGUGAUGAAGGCCCUAGGGUUGUAAAGCUCUUUCACCGGUGAAGAUAAUGACGGUAACCGGAGAAGAAGCCCCGGCUAACUUCGUGCCAGCCGCCGCAGUAAGAC